UAUCAGGCUUGUGUACGGAAGAGGUUGAUGGAAUUCCUGGUGUAGCAGUGAAAUGCGUAGAUAUCAGGAAGAACACCAGUGGCGAAGGCGGUCAACUGGUCCGGUACAGACACUAAAGCACGAAAGCGUGGGUAGCAAACAGGAUUAGAUACCCUGGUAGUCCACGCCCUAAACGAUGAAUACUAGAUGUUGGGGGUAAAACUUCAGUAUCGCAGCUAACGCGUUAAGUAUUCCACCUGGGAAGUACGAUCGCAAGGUUGAAACUCAAAGGAAUUGACGGGGGCCCGCACAAGCAGUGGAGCAUGUGGUUCAAUUCGAUGCAACGCGAAGAACCUUACCUGGGCUUGACAUGUAAGUUAAGGCCGGUGAAAGCCGGCGUUCCGCAAGGAGAGCUUAUACAGGUGCUGCAUGGCUGUCGUCAGCUCGUGCCGUGAGGUGUUGGGUUAAGUCCCGCAACGAGCGCAACCCUUGUCCUUAGUUGCCACCAGGUAAUGCUGAGCACUCUAAGGAGACUGCCUACGCAAGUAGUGAGGAAGGUGGGGAUGACGUCAAGUCCGCAUGGCCCUUACGCCCAGGGCCACACACGUGCUACAAUGGCUACUACAAAGGGCUGCCAAGCCGCAAGGUGGAGCCAAUCCCUAAAAAGUAGUCUCAGUUCGGAUUGGAGUCUGAAACUCGACUCCAUGAAGCUGGAAUUGCUAGUAAUCGCGCAUCAGCACGGCGCGGUGAAUACGUUCCCGGGCCUUGUACACACCGCCCGUAA
rnacentral:rRNA from 1 species